GCGUUCCUUGUGAAGUUCCUCAGCAAGCCAAUUGCUUUGUUUGAUGAACUCGUUCUGCAUCCAACCGGUCGGGAGAGGCCCCUUUACCUCCUGAUCUAUUCUGUCCUGUCCCAACUGGCACUGCUGAAUUUGGGCCAACGAUCUCUGGUUAUCUCCGAAGGUGUGGACCUGUUGAUCGUCGCCUUGAAUGCGCACUCCAGUGCUUUCAACAUAGUUCAACCCAUCCUCAGGUCCUGAUGAUCCAUUGGUCGACAUGAACCAGGAAGCCCCAGAAGAUGAGCAGCAGCAGGAGUCCAGAAAUGUGGAGCAUGGUGAGUGGCGCCUGCAUGCAUUAUGUGCACUGGCUAGGGUGUGUGUCGGAAACCAGUGCACAAGCAUUGAUGACACAUUGUUACAAUGUACCUUGUGUUUGGUUGCCAGGUGCAUCAUUUUUGGGCGGGGCCCCAGCGCGAAGCGCCCAGGGGGGCCCCCACCUGUAGGAUUGCCCAUGUCCGUGUGUGUGUAACGGACCAAACAUAAUAUCUCGCCCGGCUGAAACGCGUUAUAGGUACUAUACAGCAUUCUCUAUUGCAAGGUAUCUCGCAUGUAGCUAACAAAGAUCGUAUGAGCACAAACAAGUUUAGCUGCCUCCAUUCACCGACCUCAAAAGUCACAUCAACGCCUCUCGCGCUAAAUUUCAUCUCAAAAAGGUGCCGUGUAUCUCAUCAUUGAUUUCCGAGAUGACAGUGUUUGAUAACGGGCUUUCAGGACUUUCAACUUCAUAUCCUCACUGUUGGCCAAGUGUAGUAGCUGGCCGCUGAAAAGGCCUCUCAAGAUGCUGGUGGUCGCGCUUAGCGCGUAUUUGUAGUUGUUAUGUGUGCCGUACUGUGUACCGGCUACUACACCAAGUACACCAGCAUGGCUUCAUGUGAGCGUGAGCUCCCAUGGGCCUGAAACAGAUGCUCGCUGACACCUGCGCUGCUGCCACCGCUACACCUCCUGAGCAAAGGCUGUGCAGCCCGAUUAGGCAGAAGCUGCAGCAGAAACCUGUCGGUUCUGACGCUAUGCACUCCUGCAACUUACUCCAGCCUUGUACAGUCCAGCCAUCCCUAUGGCAGUCCGGAGACGUGUAACUCGUCAGGCUCGGUAGCUACGGGGCAGUUGUCUGGACAGGUUACUCGCCAGCUAGAAGCUUGAUAAAUGUGCAACCUUGAAAGUGCCAUAAUUAGGCACAGAUAUGCGCGCUGAGUGUGUGAAAUGUUAUGACGAGGUUAGUUAACAUGUUUGCCAUCAAAUAUGAGUGUAGGGAGGCAUUAUUUGUCCUUAUGAUUUGCUCUCUACCUACGGCCAUUUGGCAGUCCAGAGACGUGUAGCGCCCAAGGCUCAGCAGCUACGGGACAGUGGUCUGGACGAGGUUAUUUUUGACGUGCAGCCCCGAAAGCACAUUGGGAAGCAUGAAUAUAACUGGUGAAUGCAUCAUCAGUGAGGUUUAGGUUAGUUUAGGUGUUUGCCACCAUCGGAGCACCUGUAUUGGUGCUCCGAUGUAACAUGACCAUUGGUAGUCAUGGUCAUGGCCCAAAGGAACGCCAAUUGUUCAAGCACAAAGUAGAAUAUAGUUCAUGAACAAAUAAGUACAUAGGCAAGGUUACCCGAGGCCGACGCCGAUCGACAUGGUCGACCAGGUCCGCCAACGUAGUGGGUCCAUGCCACAAUAUCCGAAAGUCGGCUGAAAUCAUUUAUAACCGUGUCAGGUUUACUGAAUAGAAUUACGACCGACGAGGUUUCCAUGCCAUUGGCUGACAUAACCGCUCAUGUACGGCUUUGGCUAUUAUGGCUUCAAUGUCCUCUCCAUCGAAAAAAUAUCUUCAUUACGAAAGACCAAAGCAUGUAGCCAUAACUCCCAACUCAGUCGAGCACGAUAUGGGCCAAGUAUUGUUGCUAAUCGGAACCGCUUCAAGUGAGAAGGAAUUCGGAACAGCUUCCAUUGGGAUAAGGGAUUUGUGUUAUAUUUUAGUAUGCCUUGUAGCAACGUUAAAAUAGAACUCACCGCCACUCACCGUCGCUGAACUAGCUUUAGUUAUCCUUGGCUGACGUCCAGCCGGGAAUGGAGGCGGGUGGCCACCGUGAGGAGGAAUUGGGCUCGCUUGGAGAGGUAAGAUGGGAGGGAGGGUCGGGGCUGUUAUAUGUUUUAUGUGGGGCAUCAAAACACUGUCGUACUCCGAUAUGGCUAUCGGAGUACGGCAGAUUUGUUUGAUGUAGGCAGGUAGUUGUGGGGCACAGCUGUGCCAGGGUUGUUUUUCUUUGUGGAUUCGUUACCCGUUGCCCUCUUUCUUGUUCCUGAUGCUAUGGAGGGUGGCUGGGGCUGGUUGGGGGAGGGGGGCGUGUGUGUUUCGCUGCCGUCGUCGACGUGCCUGCCCUAAUUGUCAUGUUCCCAUCCAUGUCCUGCACGUGCCGCAGGCCUCGGAAGAUGGGGCCGACGUCCGGCCGGGAAUGGAGGUAAGAUGGGAGGGAGGCUGGGGGCUCUUAUGUGUUUUACGUGGGGCAUCAAAACGCUGUCGUACUCCGAUAUGGCUAUCGGAGUACGGCAGAUUUGUUUGAUGUAGGCAGGUAGUUGUGGGGCACAGCUGUGCCAGGGUUGUUUUCCUUUGUGGAUUCGUUACCCGUUGCCCUCUUUCUUGUUCCUGAUGCUAUGGAGGGUGGCUGGGGCUGGUUGGGGGAGGGGGGCGUGUGUGUUUCGCUGCCGUCAUCGACGUGCCUGCCCUAAUUGUCAUGUUCCCAUCCAUGUCCUGCACGUGCCGCAGGCCUCGGAAGAUGGGGCCGACGUCCGGCCGGGAAUGGAGGUAAGAUGGGAGGGAGGCUGGGGGCUCUUAUGUAUUUUACAUGGGGCAUCAAAACGCUGUCGUACUCCGAUAUGGCUAUCGGAGUACGGCAGAUUUGUUUGAUGUAGGCAGGUGGUGGUGGGGCACAGCUGUGUGCAUGUGCAGCCAACCUCGGAUAGUGGGGCUGCAGCCGAAGUUAUAUAUUAGGAGGGUGGUGACAGGGAGGGGGAAUGGUUUCACUCAGGGAGGUGAGAUGGAAGGGAGGGUUGGGGCUCCAGGUUUUGUAUCCUGUAAGCUUACUGUUAAGCUCUAGGCUCUGUUGCCUGACUGUCAGAUAUGUCCACCCUACUGCCGCACUGCUGCAGAAGUCCAUACUGGCGUCUGGGCAGGGGCUUUACCUGUCUAAAGCUGGAACCUGCCUUCCUGGAUGUCUGCUUCUCAAGGCGAGAGUAGUUCCUGCAAACUAUGGUCAACAUCACACCACCCAGCCGUACAGGAACUUAUGGGCAUGAGGCCCCAGUGGAUUCUAGAAUGAUUAUUAUUCAAUCCACUUGCCUCAACCGGUAUCUUUCGAUACCANNNNNNNNNNNNNNNNNNNNNNNNNNNNNNNNNNNNNNNNNNNNNNNNNNUUUCAACUUCAUAUCCUCACUGUUGGCCAAGUGUAGUAGCUGGCCGCUGAAAAGGCCUCUCAAGAUGCUGGUGGUCGCGCUUAGCGCGUAUUUGUAGUUGUUAUGUGUGCCGUACUGUGUACCGGCUACUACACCAAGUACACCAGCAUGGCUUCAUGUGAGCGUGAGCUCCCAUGGGCCUGAAACAGAUGCUCGCUGACACCUGCGCUGCUGCCACCGCUACACCUCCUGAGCAAAGGCUGUGCAGCCCGAUUAGGCAGAAGCUGCAGCAGAAACCUGUCGGUUCUGACGCUAUGCACUCCUGCAACUUACUCCAGCCUUGUACAGUCCAGCCAUCCCUAUGGCAGUCCGGAGACGUGUAACUCGUCAGGCUCGGUAGCUACGGGGCAGUUGUCUGGACAGGUUACUCGCCAGCUAGAAGCUUGAUAAAUGUGCAACCUUGAAAGUGCCAUAAUUAGGCACAGAUAUGCGCGCUGAGUGUGUGAAAUGUUAUGACGAGGUUAGUUAACAUGUUUGCCAUCAAAUAUGAGUGUAGGGAGGCAUUAUUUGUCCUUAUGAUUUGCUCUCUACCUACGGCCAUUUGGCAGUCCAGAGACGUGUAGCGCCCAAGGCUCAGCAGCUACGGGACAGUGGUCUGGACGAGGUUAUUUUUGACGUGCAGCCCCGAAAGCACAUUGGGAAGCAUGAAUAUAACUGGUGAAUGCAUCAUCAGUGAGGUUUAGGUUAG
rnacentral:lncRNA from 1 species